AAAAAUAAUAAAAUAUUUUAUCUUAGUAUAACAUAAAGAAUAACAAAUAAGAUAUAUAAGGGAAUAAACGCAUAUUUUUCAUAUCUACAAAUGAAAAAUAUUACCUAUAUAUAUAUAUAUAUAUAUAUAUAUAUAUAUAUAUAUACAUAUGUGUGUGUUAAAUAAAAAACUUUGUAUAUAUUUAUGUGAGCAUUCAAUUGUAUAAUAUUAUGCUUACUCAAACUUUUUAAUUAAAAAGUGAGUUAUAAUAGAAAGAAGUAAUAAUACGUAAAAUAAUAUAUAAAUAUACAAAUAAAUAUAUAAACAUUUGUAUGUUUUACUUUUAAUAACAUGUGGUAACUAUUAUUUAAUGAUAAGAAAAAGAAAAGAAAAAAAGAAAAAGAAAAGAAAAAAUGAAAAAAUCCUCACAUGACGACACACUAUUAUCUUUAUAUAAAAUAAGGAGUUUUAUAUACACAUCCUUAAAAAUUACAAUAUAUUAAAUAUAUUUUAUGAUAUUUUUGUUUUUUUCUUUUUUUUUACUUAUAUAUAAAAGAAAUUAAUUUUUAUAAAAGGGAUAA